GUGGGGAAUAUUGGACAAUGGGGGGAACCCUGAUCCAGCCAUGCCGCGUGUGUGAAGAAGGCCUUUUGGUUGUAAAGCACUUUAAGCGAGGAGGAGGCUACCGAGAUUAAUACUCUUGGAUAGUGGACGUUACUCGCAGAAUAAGCACCGGCUAACUCUGUGCCAGCAGCCGCGGUAAUACAGAGGGUGCAAGCGUUAAUCGGAUUUACUGGGCGUAAAGCGCGCGUAGGUGGCCAAUUAAGUCAAAUGUGAAAUCCCCGAGCUUAACUUGGGAAUUGCAGUCGAUACUGGUUGGCUAGAGUAUGGGAGAGGAUGGUAGAAUUCCAGGAGUAGCGGUGAAAUGCGUAGAGAUCUGGAGGAAUACCGAUGGCGAAGGCAGCCAUCUGGCCUAAUACUGACACUGAGGUGCGAAAGCAUGGGGAGCAAACAGGAUUAGAUACCCUGGUAGUCC
rnacentral:rRNA from 1 species